GACGAACGCUGGCGGCGUGCUUAACACAUGCAAGUCGAACGGUAAGGCCCUUCGGGGUACACGAGUGGCGAACGGGUGAGUAACACGUGGGUGAUCUGCCCUGCACUUCGGGAUAAGCCUGGGAAACUGGGUCUAAUACCGGAUAGGACUCCGGACUGCAUGGUCUGGGGUGGAAAGCGUUUGCGGUGUGGGAUGGGCCCGCGGCCUAUCAGCGUGUUGGGGGGGUGAUGGCCUACCAAGGCGACGACGGGUAGCCGGCCUGAGAGGGUGACCGGCCACACUGGGACUGAGAUACGGCCCAGACUCCUACGGGAGGCAGCAGUGGGGAAUAUUGCACAAUGGGCGCAAGCCUGAUGCAGCGACGCCGCGUGAGGGAUGACGGCCUUCGGGUUGUAAACCUCUUUCAGCAUCGACGAAGCGAAAGUGACGGUAGGUGCAGAAGAAGGACCGGCCAACUACGUGCCAGCCGCCGCCGUAA
rnacentral:rRNA from 1 species